rnacentral:lncRNA from 1 species
AACAAAUCCCAUAGGUAAAGCUAGUCCUAAAUGGAGGCAUUUCAUUGCUAUGAAGGCACAAUAGUAGCACCUGGAGAACUAUCACAGCGAAACCACUGCCGAUGCUGGGCAUUGCACUGACCUGCUAUUUGAAACGCUCACCAGGUCCAAUCACCAUGACACCACCAGUGCUGUCAAUCAGAAACCAUGCUGAUUCUGUGGAAUAUCAAGGCCAUUAAGAUCUUUGUAGACUAUAUUAUGACAGAGAACUGGAGAUUUAACCUAGUCCUAAGGUAAGACAGUUAAUGCAUAAUACUGUCUUUUUGACAUGACCAGAAAGUGCA